UCGAAGCCCUAAAGACUGAAGUCUGCUAUCCACACAACAGGUUCAGCAUGGGCAGUGGCAGUACUAGCUUCCCACAUGUUGCCACCUGCUAGUGUGCCCCCCUCCCCAUAAUCAUUCACUCCUUGGCAGUGGCCUCUUUGCUGAGGCUGCUAGAAAGGGGGCAUACAGUGGGGUUCAACACAUGGGUCAC
rnacentral:sRNA from 1 species